CGCCCAAUAGCACAACGGUUAGUGCGUCUACGCAAUUUCGGCCAUGAUUCCAUAUGAAUGUAGAAGCUUAAGGUGCCAGUUCGACUCGGGGUUGGGUGA